CCCUCAUUUGCCGCUGCACAUCGUAUAGGUUACAACCGGAUCGCGCCCACCUUGUGGGCGCCUCGCUCGUCCGUUCGCACGAUAAACGCGCAGCGGUGGAGACACGACGCCAUCUCGUUCACAAACCCACACG